rnacentral:rRNA from 1 species
CCUACGGGAGGCUGCAGUGGGGAAUUUUGGACAAUGGGGGCAACCCUGAUCCAGCCAUGCCGCGUGAGUGAAGAAGGCCUUCGGGUUGUAAAGCUCUUUCGGCCGGGAAGAAAUCGCAUGGGCUAAUACCCUGUGCGGAUGACGGUACCGGCAUAAGAAGCACCGGCUAACUACGUGCCAGCAGCCGCGGUAAUACGUAGGGUGCGAGCGUUAAUCGGAAUUACUGGGCGUAAAGCGUGCGCAGGCGGUUUUUUAAGACAGGCGUGAAAUCCCCGGGCUCAACCUGGGAACUGCGCUUGUGACUGGAAGGCUAGAGUAUGGCAGAGGGGGGUGGAAUUCCACGUGUAGCAGUGAAAUGCGUAGAGAUGUGGAGGAACACCAAUGGCGAAGGCAGCCCCCUGGGCCAAUACUGACGCUCAUGCACGAAAGCGUGGGUAGCAAACAGGAUUAGAUACCCCGGUAGUC